rnacentral:rRNA from 1 species
ACGCUCGACACCUACGGGAGGCAGCAGGUGGGGAAUAUUGCACAAUGGGGGAAACCCUGAUGCAGCGACGCCGCGUGGAGGAAGAAGGUCUUCGGAUUGUAAACUCCUGUUGUUGGGGAAAAAGAGGAUGGUACCCAACAAGGAAGUGACGGCUAACUACGUGUCAGCAGCCGCGGUAAUCUGAGCGGGCUGGCAAGGC